rnacentral:lncRNA from 1 species
AGUGAGUGUGCGCAGAGAGUGAACACCGGCAGAUUGCAACUUAUAUUUUUGUGGAUGUCAAUUGUCAAUACAGUGCAUUUAUCGCCCAUUAUUGGUAUAUUACUCAUUAAUCAUGACGCGCGAAUUAGCUACGUCAGCAUAUCGCGUUUUAUUGAGUUCGUGAUAAACUCGUUACGCAAAUCAUCUGAUAUUGUAUUCUGAACCUGUACAAUUUUAUAUCUGUAUCGUCUCCGCUGUUUAUGUUAACCCUCUCGCCUCUCCAACUCUUCAUGUUCCCACUGAACUCUGUGCUGAAAGGGGAUUUGAGAGGCGUCAAGGGCGACUUGAAAAAGCCGUUUAAAAAAGCAUCGAAAGAUUACGAGACCAAGUACGCGAAUCGAAAAGGAAAAGAAGCAACACCAAGUACGCAGAGGCUGGCCUCAUCCACUCGCAAGUUACACCCGCUAAAAAUGCUGACAAAAUGGAAAAGGAGGGACGGUUGAAAUCAAUUUAUCUACGUGAAAUACGUGGACAAAAGGGUAAGACGUAAUGAAAACGUGUGCCAACGAGCACGAUCUUCUCUCGGAUCUCGAGCAUGCGGUAAACAAUCGUGAUUUGCAACAAUUGCUGCAAGUUUAUGCGAGAAACGUCGACGUUGCAACACCUCUUCCCACUUCGGACAUUGGUGGAACGUUAUUGCAUUAACCUCACAAAAGAUUACCCAGCGGAGAUUCUUCUACCAGCAGUCAUAGUACACUCAUUAUUUAUUAUGAUGUUGACUGAUCAACGAUCGAAUUGUUAGUCUCGCUGUGGAUUUGUGCGGACUAAGUGCAACGUUUCACUUUUACUCAGAAAUGGACAAAGUUAACAGCUCGACUCUACAGAGGCUACGAAACCCACCACCACCAGUGCCUUUGAUGUCAAACUCAUCGAGAUGGAGCAACGGUUGAAACAACGAAUCUUUGAGCUCCAUGUGUUCCGAUCAUGGUAUUGCCGGCAAUCCUGUACCUCCACCGAGAAAGAUUCGUUCGCAAAUGUCAAACGAUGGCCACACGAGAUUGACCACAACUGCAAUAUAGUCAGUAGGGUUCUCACGGAUAACAAAAACGAUGCUCCCAACCAGAAAGUUGUACUGACCGAGGAUACUGAACGUUUUCCCACCUAAAUAGAUAUUUAACUCUUUGGCAUCACCAAUAUUCAAUAGUUUCUUCAGGAUUGGAUUCAUCACCUGGAAAUUCUUCAACAUCUUCAUCCAACUGGACAUAAUUGGACUUCUCAGGUGCAUGUGGUUCUUCAAGUUUCUUGAGAUCAGUCCUGUUUCCAAUUAAAUCUUCAAGGCAGUUCCUGAUUGUCAAUACACUCGUCAAAUCGGCUGCUGCUGGCAUAUCAUUCUUGAUCGAAAUGUUGACUAGGGAGUCAGAAAAUUUUUGUGCAGCUACUGUACAGAGAUAAGGAGAUCGAGUACGCGGGUCAACCGAUCGGUGUUGUAGUCGCCGAAACUCAGGCGCUCGCGAACGAGGCUACGAAACUAAUCAAAGUCAGUCAAAUUCAGAGACACUAAUAAAAAAAAGCGAUUGUAACAAUUAAGGACGCUAUUGCUUCGGGUGAUAAAACUCGACUGUUCCAAACUGCACACAUGUCAGCGAAGCGAAAAGGGAACGAUGCAAAGCACGUUAUCAAGGGUACACCCGAGGUAGGAUCUCAGUGUCACUUCACGAUGGAGCCGCAGAGUUGCGUUUGCAUACCGACGGAAGACGGUAUUGACGUUUAUCCCGCUUCGCAGUGGCUCGAUUUAACUAAAGGUUCGACAGCUUCUUGCCUCGCUGUUCGAAACAACAGCAUAAACGUCAACGUAAUGCGUUUGGAGGGCGAUUACGACGUCAAGACCUCGCGAUCGACUCAAGAAUCGUGCGCGUGCGCACUUGUAGGGCACCUGUUGAAACGACCAGUUCGGUUCAUCAUGACAAUCGAGUAACGGUGGACAAGGUGGGCAAAUUUUACUCGAUGAAACAGGAUUGCGAGGUCGGCGUUGACGACAACCGCCUCAUACAAUAUCUCAAUUCGGUGCAUUGGGGAAAUGCCGGCUAUUCUUUAAACGAGUUACACGCACCAUUUCUCGUUUAUCACUUUUACACUUGCUACUAUUUCGAAACAUGUAACUAUGAUGAGUGCGAAGUGAAAAUCAGGAUACUAUCCAAUAUCUUUCGAAGAGCACCUGCUUCUACGGAGGGAGCCGCAAUGGCAAAGAGCAUAAUAGAAUAUAUAGUUCGAAAAAUUGGAAAAAAAUCCGUUGGAAGUGCGCAUAUUGAACAUGAAUUCGGUGGAUAAGGAAGCUCUACUAUCCAUGAUCGAGGAUAUGAAGAAAUCUUCAGGUUACGAAGUUCGCAAGCGAGCAGUUGAAAUUUUGAACAGUGAUAGCGCCGGCAACGAAGGAGCUCGAACUGAAGCCAUACCCGAUCUACGGCGCGAUCGUAGCAGAAGUCGGGUUGAACGUGUUCACGGGUCAACAUAUCAUACGAAGAGUCGUCGUAAUUGAAGACGCGGGAAUUAACCUCAACUCAGAAAGUGAUUUGGGAUAGGUCAAAGGAGCCUUUAUUAUGGGCGUCGGUUACUGGACCAGCGAAAGAAUUUAUCUACGAUGUGGAUGCCGGUGCUCUCACCAACACCAAAACUUGGUUUCAGAAUCUACUUCAGACUCGUAGGAUUCUUCUAAAGUAGAACCAUUAUCGGAUUCUUCAGUCGUGCAAUUGUUGUACGACGGAAUCGAAAUGCCCAUUUCACUUCGUGCAAUUAUUCAAUUCAUCCGGAUCCACGAAACCAUCGGAUUUUCAUCUGAAUCAAACUCACCGCCGUUACUACCAGUUUAUUUCUGUAAGAAAAAUCGUAUGACUGGAUUUGAAUAAUUACGGCUCACGUUGGCACUACAGAGGGUCAAAUAAAUUAUAAAAGAAAUUAA